CCCUUAGAUGUUCUGGGCUGCACGCGCGCUACACUGAUGCAAUCACCGAGUUUUUCCUGCUCCGAUAGGAUUGGGUAAUCUUUUGAAAUUGCAUCGUGAUGGGGAUAGAUUAUUGCAAUUAUUAGUCUUCAACGAGGAAUUCCUAGUAAGCGCGAGUCAUCAGCUCGCGUUGAUUACGUCCCUGCCCUUUGUACACACCGCCCGUCGCUACUACCGAUCGGAUUGUCCUGUGAAUUUCUAGGAGAGUUGAGGUCCUGGCGCUUCGGUGUCGGCGACCUCAUGCUUGAAUUGAAUUGAACUGGACUCUCUAGAGGAAGUAAAAGUCGUAACA
rnacentral:rRNA from 1 species